GUGACGGGUGACGUCACUCAAAAUAUUGACGUAAACAUUCAAAUUUCAUUUAUUUUUUUUCCCCAUGAAAAUCCCCGGAUUUUUCCGGUGAUUUCGUCCCAUUUGGGCAUGAAUCAAAAUUCCAGUUGCCCCUUACUAAGACACAUAACAAUAAACCUACGAAAUCUCUUUCAUACUACCAGAACCAGAUUAGACAACCACUAUGAAACACUGAAACUGAAGAGCAACUGUACAGGAAAGGAAAUACGAGAGUCAUUUCUGAAACUUUCGAAGGAGUACCAUCCCGAUAUAAACAAGCACCCUAGUGCACACAAAGAAUUCCUAAAAAUUCAAGAGGCAUAUAAUAUUUUAAGCAAACCCAACUCGAGAGCAAAUUAUGACUUGGGGCUAAAUAACCCUUUUCAAUCCAAAUAUGAAAGUACUGGCACUACUUAUACUUAUCAGAGACCUAGUACAGGGCCGCAUCAGUAUCGCUCUGGGCCAUACAAAACUUAUACAAGAAAUCCAUGGGAUGAUCCUUCUUUCUAUUCCAACAAAUCCUAUUCUUACUCAUCGGAUAAUGAUUCCUAUUAUGGAAUAAAAGGAAUAAAAAGACAGUCAAAUGGGACGGUACUGUUUGUGGUUUUGAUAUUCGGCCUGGUCGCGUUUGUCUUGGAAAUGUUGGCGUUCAGUUUUCUUUUUAGAGAUUUGAGAUGGGAGUAUGAGAGUAAUAAGGCGAGGGAACUAAAUAAUGCUAGGUAUACGUACAGCAAGCAGCAAGAAAUAAUGAACCAAAGAACGAUGGCGACCCAAAGGAUCCUUAAUGAAAUCAAAGAGAGGGCAGAAAAGAAUGGAAAAGAAGCACAAAUUGAGAUUCACAAGAAGCAAUUUGAGGAAAUCGAGAGGAACAGUAGGUCGCGUGCUUUAAGGAGAGAGUGAUGGCUACAAUCAUUAAAAGUAAAAUGGUCCAGCGCACUUGCCACUUGAGAAAUUGAUAAGUUGUAGUAAAGAAUCUGCAAUAUUACAGGUGACAGUUACCAUUCCCUGCAAUACCUCUUUCGCAUUCCAGUCACAACAAUUUCAAGAAUUGUGCCGGAGGUUUGUGACGCGUUGUUUACAGUGUUAAAAACUGAUUAUCUUCGGGUGUUAAUAAAGAGGCCAUCUUUCCAAAUAAUAUGCUUUUAAAACGUAGUCAAACCAAAAAGCAAGACACGACAAUAAUAGCUAGAUUUUGUUGAUCUAUUUAACCAGAUGAAUAGAGCAAGAGUGAUCUAGAGAACAAGUCUCGACACUGUGUCCACUAAAGCCCUAACUAGACUAACAUCGAUCUACCGAGAUUCGAGAUUUACUCUCGCUAGUGCAGUCUCAAUAAUAUGUACACUCGUAAACCUUAUCUAAAACAGCACUAACUAGAGUAAAUCUCAGAAAAAACUACAGUUUACAUGUACCAUAAGGAUGCCAAACCAAGAUAUUAACUCCUAAGUCCACAUUAUGGGUUAGUUUCUAAGAGCAUGAAUACCACCCGAGGAAAUGUGAACUUAGCAACAAAAUCUACUUUAUGUGUAAUUGAUUGUGAUUAUUUUAAUUGGUUUUUAUGAUUAAAUUAUAACCAUA